GAGAAAAGAUUGCAGAGUAGUGUAGAAUAGGGCUAAAGGAAAGAUAGCAAUUUGGUUGCAUAGAUUGGCAAGUGUGCUUAGGUUGAUAAGAAGUAUAUAUUUGAAGGGAAAAUAGGAAGCUUCGUGGAAGGUGUGAAGGUAGGAAGAAACCAAUGCAUGUGGGGAUAUAUGCUUGAGGAUGCAAACAUGUUAGUGGCUAUUGGGAACACUGAAGGGUGGCUAUUCAAGAGUGAGGUUUACCAGAUUAGAUGGAACUACCAAUUGAUGAGUUUUGGAUGCAAGUGAAGAUAAUAAUGUGACAGAAGACAGAACCAAGUUUUCAAUAUUUUGCUACAAUUCUCAAUUCUCAUUUAUUCAUCCAUUGUCUCCAGUUUUGGUCGAGAAAGGAUAGACACAAACAUAAAGCUGAACCAGUUCACGUGAUUCCCUCGUGGCUGAGCCUCUUGGACAGUUAGAUAUGUACAUGCGACAAAACAAAUUACGAAUACAUGGUUAUGGUAGAAUAUCCAUCAUUGAUUCUGCAAUCUUGUGAUCCAUCACUUCAUUGGCCAAGGAUAUGUAAAUUUAGUUUUCCAUAUUUCUAAAUGUUUUGGUGGGUUUGACACUGAUAUUCAUCCGGAGGAUUGCAUUCACAUGUAAUUUUAAAAUUUGAUUAUUUCACACAAGAGUUGUAAACUCAUAUAUUUUACUGUGCAUUUGUGUGCAGUUAUCAAAGUUUUACAUUAAUCAUAAAUCCUAUAAAUCCAUGUUCUCUAGCAUAGAAUGAUGUUUUUUUGUUUUCUUUCUUUAACUAUGUUUUAAAAACAUCAGUAACUUGAACAAAAUAAAAUAUCACUGAUUAGUCAUUUCUAGCUAUAUGUUCAUGUGACUGAGUAGAAAAUAUCAGAAAUGGUUAAGUAUAGUACUGAGUGUUGUUCUAAAAUUCAACAUAGUAGGGUUAAAAAUAUCUUUAAAUCAUAAUAACAUCCAUGUUUGAUGUCAGACUUAAAUUUGAAAGAAAAAACACACUGAUUAUAAAGACAAAUGGGUGCGGUCCCUCAGUAGCUACGAUAGUCACGAGAGAGAGAUAGAGAGCUGUGAUACUUCUGCAGCAGCUACCAUACAGCCACGUGAAAUAAAAAGGUCUGAUAUAGAUCAAAACAUGUUCUACAGUGUUCACAGAGCAAGGAAAAUAAUGAUGAAUCUGUAGAAGAUAUGCAACAAAUAAUAGACAUAAUUAAUAAGGAGAGAAUAUUUUUUUUAUAUUAUAUCAUAAAGACCAGCAUUAAUCCUAACCAAUAUACUUUCAUGUCUGCAGACAUUCCUUAUUCUGGCCCAGAUUAUGCUGCAUUAUUUGAUUUUACAAAACUAACAAGAAAAUUUAAAAUACACAUAAUGAUUGAAUUUUAAUUUAUUACUUAUGUGUUUGCAGAAGAAAGAAAAAAAUUAUACGGAAGUUGCAACUUCACUCACGGGUUCUCUAUAAUCCAAAAUAUGAAAAUUUCAUGUGAUCAUAUAUAAAGUAAUAAUCUGUGACUAUUUUACCUAAACUAAAAGUAUAAGUAAAAGUUUAAAAUGUACAUAAUAGUUUUCUUAUUUUAUUGUCUACUUAAGAAAGUCUAAUAAUAUACUGUCUUAAGGAUGGAAAGAAAGAAACUUCUAUCCUUUAUACUACUUAAACAUAACUUAUCUUUCAUGCGUAAUAUUUCAGUAAGACAGUGUAAAGGAAAUGAAGGAAGUGAAGGACACAGUACCUUGUGGAAUGUGCUUCUUCCCACUCUCUGAGCAAAACUAUCACCAAGUCUGAUUUCUUCACUAAAUCUCUCGAACAAUUGUUUUGUGCAAGAUGAUUUUGAGCAAUAUAUAGAGCAGAUAGAAAGCACUUUAUGUCUUUUGCCUUGGGAAAUUUCUUACCACUUUCUAUGUCAACCACUUUUCAGCAUUGAUGUGGUUUGUUAAUUUC
rnacentral:lncRNA from 1 species